GCUUUAUGGGAGAGCUUAGUCGGUACAGCAUGGAACUCUUAAUCUCAGGGUUGUGAGUUCAAGCCCCACAUUGGGCA